UUUUAUUUUUUGGGAGGUUUUUACUUUCUCAAUUUCAUCAAUAAAUCUACAUAUGUCGAAGCUUCGAUUCCAUUUAUCUCAAAGUGAGGAGAUUGACAUGUAUGUACUCCUACAUGGUUUGGGAAAAGAUAAUGUAAAGUAUGAAGAUAUUCACAAGCACCAUGAUAAUUCAAAUGAUCCUUUGCCAUAGUCAACUUACAAUCAUUAUUCUACAUGUAGAAGAGGCGUAGCUAUUAUAGAAGAAACCGUUUUCAAGAUGAAGGAAUAAUGUCCGCAAGAGUAACAUGGAACAAAAGCAAGAUGUGUUUCAUAAACGCGGAAGGAAUCAUUGCUCAAUUGUAAUUUUGGAUCAUAUCACUAUUUUUUUUCUAUAAAAAGUAGAUGAUGAUGUAUCUUA